rnacentral:rRNA from 1 species
UACAGAGGUCUCAAGCGUUGUUCGGAUUCAUUGGGCGUAAAGGGCGCGUAGGCGGUCAGCACAAGUCAGUUGUGAAAUCUCCGGGCUUAACUCGGAAAGGUCAACUGAUACUGUGCGACUAGAGUGCGGAAGGGGCAACUGGAAUUCUCGGUGUAGCGGUGAAAUGCGUAGAUAUCGAGAGGAACACCUGCGGCGAAGGCGGGUUGC